GAUCUAAAAUCCAGCACGUUAGGCAGGACAGGAAACGUAUCCCUCUGAAAUUCAGAUGUACCGAAGUGCCAAAUGAAAUUUUGCAACGGUUAAUAUAUGGAGAAAAUGAACUUUGCUAAACGGAUGGCAACCAUGGAACUAUAGCUCUCAAAAGACACGUAUAACAACAACAACAAUACAAUAGAGUGUGUAAAAAGCAAAUCCGUAUUUCAUACAAGAAUCAGUGCGACUGCGACUGGACUGUAAAAGCGAUAAACAAUCUGUAAAGAGAGGAAAGGAGGUUUCAACUCGUUUGCAUAAGACUAGCAUCCCCGACUCGCCAUGUCUAAAGGAAUACCAAGAUGGCUGUUGGUAUGCGCGGUGUGUGCCUGGGUUCUGGCUGGACGCAUCGAGGCUAAAAGUACAACCUCUUGCAAAGACAACUGUAAGGUAAUCUGUGAUAACACGAGUACAAACUACAUGCCUCAGCGUUGCACCGAUUGUUGUACGGAAGAGGCCAAGGCAGGGAAGUCAAGAC